UACGGGGGGAGCAAGCGUUGUUCGGAUUUACUGGGCGUAAAGGGCGCGUAGGUGGCCUUCUAAGUUGAACGUGAAAUCCCUGGGCUCAACCCAGGAACUGCGUCCAAGACUGGGAGGCUUGAAUCCGGGAGAGGGAUGCGGAAUUCCAGGUGUAGCGGUGAAAUGCGUAGAUAUCUGGAGGAAUACCGGUGGCGAAGGCGGCAUCCUGGACCGAGAUUGACGCGUGAUGAGCGAAAGCUAGGGAGCAAACGGG
rnacentral:rRNA from 1 species